rnacentral:rRNA from 1 species
GACGAACGCUGGCGGCGUGCUUAACACAUGCAAGUCGAACGGAAAGGCCCUGCUUUUGUGGGGUGCUCGAGUGGCGAACGGGUGAGUAACACGUGAGUAACCUGCCCUUGACUUUGGGAUAACUUCAGGAAACUGGGGCUAAUACCGGAUAGGAGCUCCUGCUGCAUGGUGGGGGUUGGAAAGUUUCGGCGGUUGGGGAUGGACUCGCGGCUUAUCAGCUUGUUGGUGGGGCAGUGGCUUACCAAGGCUUUGACGGGUAGCCGGCCUGAGAGGGUGACCGGCCACAUUGGGACUGAGAUACGGCCCAGACUCCUACGGGAGGCAGCAGUGGGGAAUAUUGCACAAUGGGCGGAAGCCUGAUGCAGCAACGCCGCGUGCGGGAUGACGGCCUUCGGGUUGUAAACCGCUUUCGCCUGUGACGAAGCGUGAGUGACGGUAAUGGGGAAAGAAGCACCGGCGAACUACGU